AAACUCGUAUUUACGGGAAGAGGAAUCAUCUCCUAUUUCUUCCUCCUAUGACUAUGGUGUCCGUUUAUGUAAAUAUUUACAGGGAGGUGGAGGUGGAGGUGGAGGUGGUGCAGGGCUUACACCGGCCUCUGCGGAGGUGGAGGUGGUGGUGGUGCAGGGCUUACACCGGCCUCUUUUUAUUGAAGCUCGAGUGCAGUUUCCCUAAAAAAAAGACAAAAGGGUUUUUCACAGGGG
rnacentral:lncRNA from 1 species